rnacentral:tRNA from 3 species
GGCUCGUUGGUCAAGUAGUUAAGACGCUAUCUUCUCAGGAUGGAAUCGUAGGUGCAAUUCCUGCACGAGUCACCA